GCUAUUUUGGCAGAAUUGAGUGCGAUAGAUUUAGAAUCUAUAAAUAUGAUAAUUAUCAUAAGUAGUA
rnacentral:tRNA from 1 species